rnacentral:rRNA from 1 species
AGAGCGAACGCUGGCGGCAGGCCUAACACAUGCAAGUCGAGCGCCCGUAGCAAUACGGGAGCGGCAGACGGGAUAGUAACACGUGGGAACGCGCCCUUCGGUUCGGAAUAACUCAGGGAAACUUGAGCUAAUACCGAAUACGCCCUUAUGGGGAAAGAUUUAUUGCCGAAGGAACGGCCCGCGUCCGAUUAGCUAGUUGGUGAGGUAAUGGCUCACCAAGGCUACGAUCGGUAGCUGGUCUGAGAGGAUGACCAGCAUCACUGGGACUGAGACACGGCCCAGACUCCUACGGGAGGCAGCAGUGGGGAAUAUUGGACAAUGGGCGCAAGCCUGAUCCAGCCAUGCCGCGUGGAUGAUGAAGGCCUUAGGGUUGUAAAGUCCUUUUAACGGGGAAGAUAAUGACGGUACCCGUAGAAGAGCCCGGCUAACUUCGUGCCAGCAGCCGC